CUUGCGCCUAGAGGCAUCGUAGGUGUGGCUGCUGUGUCACAUGUGUGUCAGUAGGUGGCAGAGAGGAGAGGGCUAUGUCUAUGCUCAGUGUUCUGACCUGUGACCAUCUGAAUGAUUAGUAGGCUAACACU